rnacentral:rRNA from 1 species
UACGGGGGGGGCAAGCGUUGUUCGGAAUUACUGGGCGUAAAGGGCUCGUAGGCGGCCAACUAAGUCGGACGUGAAAUCCCUCGGCUUAACCGGGGAACUGCGUCCGAUACUGGAUGGCUUGAGUUCGGGAGAGGGAUGCGGAAUUCCAGGUGUAGCGGUGAAAUGCGUAGAUAUCAGGAGGAACACCGAUGGCGAAGGCAGGUCUCUGGGCCGCAACUGACGCUGAGGAGCGAAAGCAUGGGGAGCGAACAGG